rnacentral:rRNA from 1 species
CAAUGGCCGGUACAAAGGGCUGCGAUACCGCAAGGUGGAGCGAAUCCCAAAAAACCGGUCUCAGUUCGGAUUGGGGUCUGCAACUCGACCCCAUGAAGUCGGAGUCGCUAGUAAUCGCAGAUCAGCAUUGCUGCGGUGAAUACGUUCCCGGGCCUUGUACACACCGCCCGUCAAGUCACGAAAGUCGGUAACACCCGAAGCCGGUGGCCCAACCUUUUGGAGGGAGCCGUCGAAGGUGGGACUGGCGAUUGGGACUAAGUCGUAACAAGGUAGCCGUACCGGAAGGUGCGGCUGGAUCACCUCCUUU